rnacentral:sRNA from 1 species
UUGCGCAACGGAUAGUUUGACGCGCAAUCUUCGCAAUCCCCUGCCGCUUCGCUCCCCGUAACAUGGCUCCAGAAAUCACGGCCCGGACCCACACGUCCACGGCGAUCCGCCCAAUCAGGCGCAUCGCGGCCUGCCGACCCGAUCGGGUCGCCCAGGCCACCGGGCUACGCACCGCCCAGAAGGUGGAGCGAGGUGAGCCGGCGCCAGAAGCGACGAGCCAGGACGAGUUUCCCGAGGGGAGGUCAGUGACCUCCCC